rnacentral:rRNA from 1 species
CGAACGGUAACAGGAAACAGCUUGCUGUUUCGCUGACGAGUGGCGGACGGGUGAGUAAUGUCUGGGAAACUGCCUGAUGGAGGGGGAUAACUACUGGAAACGGUAGCUAAUACCGCAUAACGUCGCAAGACCAAAGAGGGGGACCCUCGGGCCUCUUGCCAUCGGAUGUGCCCAGAUGGGAUUAGCUUGUUGGUGGGGUAACGGCUCACCAAGGCGACGAUCCCUAGCUGGUCUGAGAGGAUGACCAGCCACACUGGAACUGAGACACGGUCCAGACUCCUACGGGAGGCAGCAGUGGGGAAUAUUGCACAAUGGGCGCAAGCCUGAUGCAGCCAUGCCGCGUGUAUGAAGAAGGCCUUCGGGUUGUAAAGUACUUUCAGCGGGAGGAAGGGAGUAAAGUUAAUACCUUUGCUCAUUGACGUUACCCGCAGAAGAAGCACCGGCUAACUCCGUGCCAGCAGCCGCGGUAAUACGGAGGGUGCAAGCGUUAAUCGGAAUUACUGGGCGUAAAGCGCACGCAGGCGGUUUGUUAAGUCAGAUGUGAAAUCCCCGGGCUCAACCUGGGAACUGCAUCUGAUACUGGCAAGCUUGAGUCUCGUAGAGGGGGGUAGAAUUCCAGGUGUAGCGGUGAAAUGCGUAGAGAUCUGGAGGAAUACCGGUGGCGAAGGCGGCCCCCUGGACGAAGACUGACGCUCAGGUGCGAAAGCGUGGGGAGCAAACAGGAUUAGAUGCCCUGGUAGUCCACGCCGUAAACGAUGUCGACUUGGAGGUUGUGCCCUUGAGGCGUGGCUUCCGGAGCUAACGCGUUAAGUCGACCGCCUGGGGAGUACGGCCGCAAGGUUAAAACUCAAAUGAAUUGACGGGGGCCCGCACAAGCGGUGGAGCAUGUGGUUUAAUUCGAUGCAACGCGAAGAACCUUACCUGGUCUUGACAUCCACGGAAGUUUUCAGAGAUGAGAAUGUGCCUUCGGGAACCGUGAGACAGGUGCUGCAUGGCUGUCGUCAGCUCGUGUUGUGAAAUGUUGGGUUAAGUCCCGCAACGAGCGCAACCCUUAUCCUUUGUUGCCAGCGGUCCGGCCGGGAACUCAAAGGAGACUGCCAGUGAUAAACUGGAGGAAGGUGGGGAUGACGUCAAGUCAUCAUGGCCCUUACGACCAGGGCUACACACGUGCUACAAUGGCGCAUACAAAGAGAAGCGACCUCGCGAGAGCAAGCGGACCUCAUAAAGUGCGUCGUAGUCCGGAUUGGAGUCUGCAACUCGACUCCAUGAAGUCGGAAUCGCUAGUAAUCGUGGAUCAGAAUGCCACGGUGAAUACGUUCCCGGGCCUUGUACACACCGCCCGUUACACCAUGGGAGUGGGUUGCAAAAGAAGUAGGUAGCUUAACCUUCGGGAGGGCGCUUACCACUUUGUGAUUCAUGACUGGGGUGAAGUCGUAACAAGGUA